AAGGGAGACCUAAUUCCGGUAGGAGACGAAAAAAAAGUAGUACCAACCGAGAAUCAAUCCCAAAAGGUCGGAGCGAGGCAAAAUUGGCUUUCAAACUAGGUUCUGGGUUCACACAAGACCUGAAUCAGGAACAAGGGCUAUUAGCUCAGGUGGUUAGAGCGCAUCCCUGAUAAGGGUGAGGUCCCUGGUUCGAGUCCAGGAUGGCCCACCUGCACAGGUGGCAAAAACAAAGAAGCUCCGAAUCAGCACCUUAUCUUACUUAUAUAGUAAGAGAGAAUGCUGGCUCUGAGUUCAGAGUCCAGAGGAACCUUGAAAACUGCAUAGAGCUAGGUGAAAAAGCCAAAAAAGAAGACCGCAAGGUCAAGCUAAUAAGGGCUAACGGUGGAUACCUAGGCAC
rnacentral:tRNA from 1 species